rnacentral:rRNA from 1 species
GACGAACGCUGGCGGCGUGCCUAACACAUGCAAGUCGAGCGAUGAACCCUUCGGGGGGAUUAGCGGCGGACGGGUGAGUAGCACGUGGGUAACCUGCCUCAAAGAGGGGGAUAGCCUCCCGAAAGGGAGAUUAAUACCGCAUAACAUCAAAUUAUCGAAUGGUAGUUUGAUCAAAGGAGUAAUCCGCUUUGAGAUGGACCCGCGGCGCAUUAGCUAGUUGGUGAGGUAACGGCUCACCAAGGCGACGAUGCGUAGCCGACCUGAGAGGGUGAUCGGCCACAUUGGAACUGAGACACGGUCCAGACUCCUACGGGAGGCAGCAGUGGGGAAUAUUGCACAAUGGGCGAAAGCCUGAUGCAGCAACGCCGCGUGAGUGAUGAAGGCCUUCGGGUUGUAAAGCUCUGUCUUCUGGGACGAUAAUGACGGUACCAGAGGAGGAAGCCACGGCUAACUACGUGCCAGCAGCCGCAGUAACAC